rnacentral:rRNA from 3 species
UACGGAGGGUGCAAGCGUUAUCCGGAUUCACUGGGUUUAAAGGGUGCGUAGGCGGACAGGUAAGUCCGUGGUGAAAUCUCCGAGCUUAACUCGGAAACUGCCAUGGAUACUAUUUGUCUUGAAUACUGUGGAGGUGAGCGGAAUAUGUCAUGUAGCGGUGAAAUGCUUAGAUAUGACAUAGAACACCAAUUGCGAAGGCAGCUCACUGCGCAGUGAUUGACGCUGAGGCACGAAAGCGUGGGGAUCAAACAGG